rnacentral:rRNA from 1 species
GGACUACCGGGGUAUCUAAUCCCGUUCGCUCCCCUGGCUUUCGUGUGUGAGCGUCAGGAACGCGCCAGUGCACUGCCUUCGCCUUUGGUGUUCCCCAUGAUAUCAACGGAUUUCACCCCUCCACCAUGAGUUCCGUGCACCUCUCGCGCCCUCGAGUCGUACCGUUUCGCUCGCGCACCGCACGUUAAGCGCGCGGAUUUUACGAACGACUAAUACGACCGCCUGGACACCCUUUACGCCCAAUAAUUCCGGGUAACGCUUGGGGCCUCUGUAUUACCGCGGCUGCUGGCAC